rnacentral:rRNA from 1 species
GAGUUUGAUCUUGGCUCAGAUUGAACGCUGGCGGCAGGCCUAACACAUGCAAGUCGAGCGGUAGAGAGAAGCUUGCUUCUCUUGAGAGCGGCGGACGGGUGAGUAAUGCCUAGGAAUCUGCCUGGUAGUGGGGGAUAACGCUCGGAAACGGACGCUAAUACCGCAUACGUCCUACGGGAGAAAGCAGGGGACCUUCGGGCCUUGCGCUAUCAGAUGAGCCUAGGUCGGAUUAGCUAGUUGGUGAGGUAAUGGCUCACCAAGGCGACGAUCCGUAACUGGUCUGAGAGGAUGAUCAGUCACACUGGAACUGAGACACGGUCCAGACUCCUACGGGAGGCAGCAGUGGGGAAUAUUGGACAAUGGGCGAAAGCCUGAUCCAGCCAUGCCGCGUGUGUGAAGAAGGUCUUCGGAUUGUAAAGCACUUUAAGUUGGGAGGAAGGGCAGUAAAUUAAUACUUUGCUGUUUUGACGUUACCGACAGAAUAAACACCGGCUAACUCUGUGCCAGCCGCCGA